rnacentral:rRNA from 1 species
AGUGAACGCUGGCGGUAUGCCUAACACAUGCAAGUCGAACGGCAGCACAGUAAGAGCUUGCUCUUACGGGUGGCGAGUGGCGGACGGGUGAGGUAUACAUCGGAAUCUACUUUUUCGUGGGGGCUAACGUAGGGAAACUUACGCUAAUACCGCAUACGACCUACGGGUGAAAGCAGGGGAUCUUCGGACCUUGCGCGAUUGAAUGAGCCGAUGUCGGAUUAGCUAGUUGGCGGGGUAAAGGCCCACCAAGGCGACGAUCCGUAGCUGGUCUGAGAGGAUGAUCAGCCAGACUGGAACUGAGACACGGUCGAGACUCCUACGGGAGGCAGCAGUGGGGAAUAUUGGACAAUGGGGGCGAGCCUGAUCCAGCAAUACCGCGUGGGUGAAGAAGGCCUUCGGGUUGUAGAGCCCUUUUGUUGGGAGAGAAAAGCAGCAGGUUAAUACGCCGCUGUUAUGACGGUACCCAAAGAAUAAGCACCGGCUAACUUCGUG